UACGAAGGGGGCUAGCGUUGCUCGGAAUCACUGGGCGUAAAGGGUGCGUAGGCGGGUUUUUAAGUCAGGGGUGAAAUCCUGGAGCUCAACUCCAGAACUGCCUUUGAUACUGAAAAUCUUGAGUCCGGGAGAGGUGAGUGGAACUGCGAGUGUAGAGGUGAAAUUCGUAGAUAUUCGCAAGAACACCAGUGGCGAAGGCGGCUCACUGGCCCGGUACUGACGCUGAGGCGCGAAAGCGUGGGGAGCAAACAGG
rnacentral:rRNA from 1 species